rnacentral:lncRNA from 1 species
GGCCAGAAAGUCUGUGUUUCUGCCACGUCUUCAAGAUAAUCAAAGGAAAGGAGCUGUGUGGCUCCUGCAGUCUCAGUUUACAAGACAGUUGCCCACUGAUUGUUCCAUGAAUAAAGCAGGAAGGAAGAUCUGACUUCAAGGAUGGAGGAAAGACAACCUGGCGGGGGAAAAUUAGAGAAUGAUGAAGUCCCCGGAAUUCAUAUUUCUUGACUCAGUGCUUAGGGACAUUUUUGCCUGAUGUAAAAAACAUUGUCCUACCCAACCAGCUUCACUGACAUACUGCUCCUCAACCUUGGCCAAAAUUCUCCACGGAGGCAGUCAAGACGAUGAUCAUCCAUUAUAUCCUGUCACUCUGCCUCUGGAUUCAAGUCAGAAGACCAUCUUUUCUAACAGUUCCAUUUCUCCUUUAAGAGCCCUGUGCUUCUGCAGGAAAACUAAGGAGAUUACCAGAGUCUUAAAAAAACAGGUUUACAUGAGGAUUCUAGGCAGUGAUUUCUACUGUUGCUGUUCCUGGUGCUCACUGCCAUUUAGAUUGACUCCAGUGGAGGAACACAGUAGGCUCUGAACUCAGUAUUCUUGAAGAAGUGCCACGUAGUAAAACAGGUGCCAAGUACAUAAGAUGCACCAGGUGCGAAGGAUACACAGACCGGGAAGAUCAAAAAAAGGGUGAUCAAGUCUACCUGAGGGAAACACCGGCCAGAGGGUGACUGACUCCGCUUGGAGGAAUACAGACAAGAAGGUCACCAACUCUACCUGGGAGAGCUGGAUAAGGCUUCCUCUGAUACCAUCUGGGCUUCUUCUUCAGAGGUGAUCCGAAGUAUUUGGUCUUAAUAAUUGAGCAAUAUUUUCCCGGAGUCCUAUCUUCAUUACAUCAACUUCCUUUGACAACUAGAAAGACCGUCUUAGCCAUUUCCUGCUCAGAGCCCUGCUCCCUUUGAGCAACGGGCCUGCAUGCCAGCUUCCUGCUUCAGAGAUGUCUUUAGUUA